ACGGGACGGAUGUGUGGCUGCUGGCCCUACGGCCGCGGUGCUGCUCGCCUGGGUAGGUGGGUGCCGAGGGCGAUGCGGCUGGGGGAACCGGGCUCUGGCCUGCCGCGAGAUGGCGGCGCGGGGCCGGGUUCGUGAGGUGGCGGUGGUGGCCCCGUCACCCGGCCCCGGGGGGGGCGGGUCCCGCCUGCUUCGUAUUUUGUUCCGCCGCUGUGGGAAGGAUAACGGUGGGUAGCUUCGUCCCCACGGCCGCCGUGUGUGGCUCCGGGCUGCCCAGGCACCUGCCUCCUUGCCGCUCCUGACCGCGUGCGGGUUCCUCGCAAAUUGUGAACUAAAACCAGAGCUUGCGAGCAGCCUUCUGAGAAGGACGGUGGGUCUGUCGUGUGGUAACGCUCCAAAACUGACUGCCAGACAGCGACUGGAUCAGCCUCUCGAGCUCAGAUCCCGAAAUCUCACCCACCUGUCAACUGCCCAGCCUGAUGCUUUUGCCUCAAGUGCCUAACGCUUCUGGUGCAAACAGCUAUGGACAUCUUGGUCAUAAAGAGGAUGUGCUGGUACCUCAGUCAACGAAAGAUGUUUCCUGCAAAUGUUGAGACAUUAAGAGCAUUACUGGAGGAGGGGGACAUUCUGCAGUUAUCACUGGUGCUGGAGAGCUCUUUGUGUGUGGCCAUAACAAAGAAGGGCAGCUGGGACUGAAUCACACAGAGGAUGUACUGCGUUUCACUUUGUGCACUGCCCUGUCUGGCUUUCAUGUAAAAGAAGUUGCCUGUGGUUGGGAUUUUGCAAUCAUAUUAGUAGGAUUUGGCCUAGUUCUGUCCUGUGGGUCUAAUGCUUUUGGACAAUUAGGAGUUCCUCAAAUUUCAGGUCCAUGCUUGACUCCACAAAAGAUUGAGGUAAAGAUCUAAAAGGAAUUGUGCUUUAUUGCUCUGAAUGUUAUGCUUCUUACAGCAACUAAAGGCCUGGUGACCUCGGUGGGCUUUAAGCCAGGCCCUUCAACUGCUUUUGAAGGAGUCUAUCUGAUGAAAUAAAUUUACAAAGUAAAGGACCAAAGAUGGUAAUUGACUCAGAAAUGAGAAGCUAAGGUUGCUUUCCUUGUUGUAUGAAGAAGUUGCCCACUUGUUAUGGAAAGCUGUCUGUUUCACUUGUGAUUAGAACAAUUCAUUAAUGCAUUUGGAUGACAUCUGCAGAAUGAGUCUGAUGCUCAGGUGAUGUGAAGUGAUAUUAAAGCUAAUGAAACCAUCCAACUUUACUUCAGCUGAAGUUUUCCUCAAGUUUGUAAGAGACUAGAUAUGUUUUGCUACCUGGAGUUUACUCAUACCUUUGCAUACCUUGUUCAAGGCUUGUGCUUAACUGUUUGAAUGAUGCCUUGUAAAACAAAAUAGACUAGCAGUAAUCCACCCCAGAAAAAAUAAACUGUGUGAUAGAGUUC